rnacentral:rRNA from 1 species
UACAGAGGUCCCAAGCGUUGUUCGGAUUCACUGGGCGUAAAGGGUGCGUAGGUGGCGGGGUAAGUCGGAUGUGAAAUCUCGGAGCUCAACUCCAAAAUGGCAUUGGAAACUACCCUGCUAGAGGGUCGGAGGGGGGACUGGAAUACUUGGUGUAGCAGUGAAAUGCGUAGAUAUCUGGAGGAACACCGGUGGCGAAGGCGGCCUGCUGGGCCAUAACUGACGCUGAGGAGCGAAAGCAUGGGGAGCGAACAGG